rnacentral:rRNA from 1 species
GCAUAUCAAUAAGCGGAGGAAAAGAAACCAACAGGGAUUGCCCUAGUAACGGCGAGUGAAGCGGCAACAGCUCAAAUUUGAAAUCUGGCCUCACGGUCCGAGUUGUAAUUUGUAGAGGAUGCUUCUGGCGACGUGCCUUCCGAGUUCCCUGGAACGGGACGCCAUAGAGGGUGAGAGCCCCGUCCGGUCGUGCACCUAGCCUCUGUGAAGCUCCUUCGACGAGUCGAGUAGUUUGGGAAUGCUGCUCUAAAUGGGAGGUAUACGUCUUCUAAAGCUAAAUACCGGCCAGAGACCGAUAGCGCACAAGUAGAGUGAUCGAAAGAUGAAAAGCACUUUGAAAAGAGGGUUAAAUAGUACGUGAAAUUGCUGAAAGGGAAGCGCUUAUGACCAGACUUGGGCUCGGUGAAUCAUCCGGCGUUCUCGCCGGUGCACUUUGCCGUCCCAGGCCAGCAUCAGUUCGCGCCGGGGGAUAAAGGUUUCGGGAAUGUAGCUCCCUCGGGAGUGUUAUAGCCCGUUGCGUAAUACCCUGGCGUGGACUGAGGUCCGCGCUCUGCAAGGAUGCUGGCGUAAUGGUCAUCAGUGACCCGUCUUGAAACACGGACCAAGGAGUCGUCUUCGUAUGCGAGUGUUCGGGUGUCAAACCCCUACGCGUAAUGAAAGUGAACGUAGGAGAGAGCUUCGGCGCAUCUCCGACCGAUCCUGAUGUUCUCGGAUGGAUUUGAGUAAGAGCAUACGGGGCCGGACCCGAAAGAAGGUGAACUAUGCCUGUAUAGGGUGAAGCCAGAGGAAACUCUGGUGGAGGCUCGCAGCGGUUCUGACGUGCAAAUCGAUCGUCAAAUAUGGGCAUGGGGCGAAAGACUAAUCGAACCUUCUAGUAGCUGGUUUCCUGCCGAA